AAAUUGAAGAGUUUGAUCAUGGCUCAGAUUGAACGCUGGCGGCAGGCCUAACACAUGCAAGUCGAACGGUAGCACAGAGAGCUUGCUCUCGGGUGACGAGUGGCGGACGGGUGAGUAAUGUCUGGGAAACUGCCUGAUGGAGGGGGAUAACUACUGGAAACGGUGGCUAAUACCGCAUAACGUCGCAAGACCAAAGAGGGGGACCUUCGGGCCUCUUGCCAUCAGAUGUGCCCAGAUGGGAUUAGCUUGUUGGUGAGGUAACGGCUCACCAAGGCGACGAUCCCUAGCUGGUCUGAGAGGAUGACCAGCCACACUGGAACUGAGACACGGUCCAGACUCCUACGGGAGGCAGCAGUGGGGAAUAUUGCACAAUGGGCGCAAGCCUGAUGCAGCCAUGCCGCGUGUAUGAAGAAGGCCUUCGGGUUGUAAAGUACUUUCAGCGGGGAGGAAGGUGUUGCGGUUAAUAACCGCAGCAAUUGACGUUACCCGCAGAAGAAGCACCGGCUAACUCCGUGCCAGCAGCCGCGGUAAUACGGAGGGUGCAAGCGUUAAUCGGAAUUACUGGGCGUAAAGCGCACGCAGGCGGUCUGUCAAGUCGGAUGUGAAAUCCCCGGGCUCAACCUGGGAACUGCAUUCGAAACUGGCAGGCUUGAGUCUUGUAGAGGGGGGUAGAAUUCCAGGUGUAGCGGUGAAAUGCGUAGAGAUCUGGAGGAAUACCGGUGGCGAAGGCGGCCCCCUGGACAAAGACUGACGCUCAGGUGCGAAAGCGUGGGGAGCAAACAGGAUUAGAUACCCUGGUAGUCCACGCCGUAAACGAUGUCUACUUGGAGGUUGUGCCCUUGAGGCGUGGCUUCCGGAGCUAACGCGUUAAGUAGACCGCCUGGGGAGUACGGCCGCAAGGUUAAAACUCAAAUGAAUUGACGGGGGCCCGCACAAGCGGUGGAGCAUGUGGUUUAAUUCGAUGCAACGCGAAGAACCUUACCUGGUCUUGACAUCCACAGAACUUUCCAGAGAUGGAUUGGUGCCUUCGGGAACUGUGAGACAGGUGCUGCAUGGCUGUCGUCAGCUCGUGUUGUGAAAUGUUGGGUUAAGUCCCGCAACGAGCGCAACCCUUAUCCUUUGUUGCCAGCGGUUAGGCCGGGAACUCAAAGGAGACUGCCAGUGAUAAACUGGAGGAAGGUGGGGAUGACGUCAAGUCAUCAUGGCCCUUACGACCAGGGCUACACACGUGCUACAAUGGCGCAUACAAAGAGAAGCGACCUCGCGAGAGCAAGCGGACCUCAUAAAGUGCGUCGUAGUCCGGAUUGGAGUCUGCAACUCGACUCCAUGAAGUCGGAAUCGCUAGUAAUCGUGGAUCAGAAUGCCACGGUGAAUACGUUCCCGGGCCUUGUACACACCGCCCGUCACACCAUGGGAGUGGGUUGCAAAAGAAGUAGGUAGCUUAACCUUCGGGAGGGCGCUUACCACUUUGUGAUUCAUGACUGGGGUGAAGUCGUAACAAGGUAACCGUAGGGGAACCUGCGGUUGGAUCACCUCCUUACCUGAAAGAA
rnacentral:rRNA from 2 species